UCUAUUGAAGUAUUGUUUAUUCAUGAAAUAUAAUUUUGAAACUGUCAUCUAUUACAAAAUAUAAUAUAUUUAUAAUACCUAUAAAACGAAGAAGGAUUAGAGUUUACUUUUGUGGCGGCACUCGACACUAACUAACAACGGACGACAACUGCGCAGUGGUUAGCACCUUAAGUUACGAACGUUUGGAACCCGGGUUCGAAUCCCGGUGACCGAAGUCCGAUUUUUCUUCCGCGAUUCUUAAAUAGGAAGCAAAUACAGCAGUACCCCAGCAGCGACAUCUACAGCCAGCAACUACUAUUAUCACGGACACUCGGUACACCUCACUUCCGCAACAGUAGUAUCGCGUAAGACUGACUAUAUCAUAGGUAUUCACAUUUCGGCUCGUAUUGUGACUGUUCUCGAGCAUUAAUCUGGUUUGUUUACCACGCUUUCUUUGACGCCUAUCGCUCGGGCCCGAGUUUCGUCGUGCUAAAUGGCACGAGAAGGGGUUAAACUUUAAAUUGACCGCUAGCGUAAGGAACGUAGAAAUUACAAGAAUGUGUUUACUUAGUGCGAUCGUCGGUAUAAACUUAUAUUUAUAGUAUGUUCGGCUUUAGACAGCAAGGGGAUAACUGUGAUCCUUGAAUCGGAAGGGCCAAAGGAGAGACGCUUUGGAUUUCGGAUUUGUAGUCAUUGAAGAUGGCACGGUGAAAAAGUGGGAGUAACAUACAUUCCCCUGUGUAUAGUUUUAUGUAAAAAUGACACUGUCCGCUUUUACUACUUUCCUCCGGAAAAUAAAAAUUUAUAAUGAAACUAAAAUAUAAAUUAAAUCAAUUGGAAAUUAUUGACCGCUUCAGUGCUUAGGUAGAAGUUCUAAAAUCGGGCAAGAGUAUAUUAUCAUCGUUUAUGAAAAUAUGCUCAUUACACUUUACAAAAGAAGAUUUUAUCCCAUCAAAUAGUCAUAAGCGUCAUUUAAUUAAAGAAAAGAGGGAUUUCAUCAAUCUUUCAAUUCCAAGUUCCGCAAUUAAUACAUUAAAUAUAAGGCCUAUUAUUUACACUAACAGCUGUUCAAGCCGUUCUUUAUACUAUCGAAUAGAAUAGCUCUCAAAGAACAUUUUUUCAAUUAAAACAAAUCCUGAAAUUGUGAAACGCUACUGAAUAUGUAUUUGGAAUAUAAAUAAAUCAGAUGAUUUAAAUAAAUGAACAAAGAGACCGAAGGACGUAUUUCAGUAUUUUGCCAUCUUACCACCAGAGGACUGAAAUCUAUGCCACGCCUCCAUUAGAAUAAGUUCAUCGGCCAACAUAUUAUGUAUAAAAAUUAAGCGCAAAUCUGCGGAACCCAAACUCGUGUCAGUAAGAGAAAGAAGUGAUACCGCGCACGCAAUAAUGGACGGUCGCCGAUUGAUCAUUGAAUUUCGUUAUCAUAUUGUUAGAAACAUAAAUGAAAACUUGUUACCGGUACACUCUUAUAAGACCGUACUUGCUACGUCUGUAUAAUAUUAAUGCAAAAAUGCAUACUGAAAAAGGAAAGCUGUAGCAUUAAGAAAAAAGCAUGAUGAAGAAUAAUUGUACAUAUAACAUUUCUUUUGCUGUGUUAAUUCCAAACUUCCUUCAUUUUUAUGCAUAUCCUUUUUGACAUCACAGAAUUUUCUACUGUCAAUAAUGAUUGAUCUCUUAUUACAAAUAAAAGCAAUCGAAAAAAUAUAUCGUAUCUACCAUUUAUUUAUUGAUAUAUAUAUAUAUAUAUUGUUUUAUAUAUUGAUGUACGCAUCUAGUUGCUAAAUUGAAAUUCGUUCUUCCUAUCUUUCUUUAUGUAAAAUAAUAAUUUUAAUAUUAAGCACGUUAUGAUGUAUUCUAAGGAUUCAGUUUAUGUUUUAUUUUAUAAAAAUGACAUUUACCAAUCCAUUUGAAAUAAAGUACUUUUAUUUUAAUUCUUACGUCCAUGACUAUGAAACGAGUGCCUUUCAUUCGAAUAAUUUAGCGUAGUAGAAAAAAUUGGCGUCCAUACCCACCUUACAUAGCUCCGAAAAUAGAAAUAAAUGACCUUUUGAAAUUUCUAAAAUUUUCCAUACUUUCCUAAGUAAUGCAAUAACUGGAAUAGAAAAAAUACUUGGGCCUCAGUCAGAUGGUAGGUAUCAAACAUUUCUUUUUUAUCUAUUCCACUCAAAGUUCGAAUUGCGUUUCGGUAUUCUAAACUAUAAUUGAAGGAUAAUGUUUUAUAAUUAUCAUGUAGAUCGAAAUAUUAUGUUCUAAAUUGAAAUUUGAAACAGAAUAAAAUAUUCCAUUAGUAGCAACCUUUUCUUAAAUUAGUAGAAAAAUGAAAGAAACAUUAGCGUGUACAAAUACAUAAAGUCACAUAUGUAUAUGUAUGUAAGUACGUAUAGUCAAAUGCAAUUUGAACUUCAGGGGAAAUGGAUAAAAAAAUGUUUAACACCCGACUUGAGACUCAAGUUUGUUUUCUAUUGUGAUUAUUUCACUUAUAUCUAUUUAGAGGAAAAACAACCAAAGGUUAAAAUAAUUACAAAAAGCUGUCAUUUAUAUCCAUUUUCGGAAGUGCUUAUGGCGGACUUUGACGUCAUUUUUCCAGCCGAUAUCAAAUUUUCCGAGCGAAUGGCACUCAUUUUAGUUAUUAGGAGAUAGAGUAGCAGCUACUAACAACUAGAAUAUGCAAUAGUUAUCUUUUUAAAACUAAUAAGUCACCUAUGAAACUUCCCUUAUUAGAUAAUUGUCAUUUUUAAUACGAUAAAGUAUUAUGUAGACAUAUA